ensembl:lncRNA LOC120098269 uncharacterized LOC120098269
GUUCUUUCUCUGCUCUCACGCGGCGCGUAGUAUGGGUUUCCUGGUAGCUGGGGCUUGGGAGGUGGCUGUGGCCUGCUAUCUAGCGUGUCCGCGGUAGACUUUGGCCUACGUCCCCUUCCCGGGAAAUCGGGGGAUGGCCCUAACUCGGUGGCCGCGUGAGGAGCACGGCCCGCCGGACCCCGCGUGAAGUGGGUCGGUGUGGAAGCCGAGCUCCGUUUGCGACGUAGAUCUCCGCCGCAUGCCCAGGCGCACAACUGGGCGGAAAUGGCGCGGACAUCCAAGUCACAAGGUAGGUGUCUGAAGCUGACGGAUAACUUCCAGAACGACACGCGGGAGCACAGAGUGGCUUAAGGAUGUCCUCGAUGAUUUGGAAAUUGGAUCUUAAGAGGCAUGGGUGACUUAAAGUGUGUCAAAACUCCACAGAUGGACGUACACUUGUAACAAGGCUGUGAAUAAAUACGUUGAUAUGCCGUUCUGAGACUCGUAUGUUGUGUGAUUGGCAGCCACCUUAACUGAGUUCAUAGGUGACAGCUGAGCUGAUGGCUAGAUUUCAGCUUAGAUUGACAUAGUCCCCUUUUGGCUUAACAGGAAGGGACAGCUAGUACUUCCGUGGGGAUUCGUGGUCAUGCAUUUUACUUAAAAACUGUCCUCAGAGUUAGAGUAUCACAAGUGGAAGGCUUCCUGUGUGAGAUGAAUCCAAGAUCAGGGCAAC